rnacentral:lncRNA from 1 species
AUUGAAAGAGAUGUCUUAAGUGGUCAGUAGAUACUCAUUGCCUGAGAUUUGUAUUUAUUUUUUUAGUUUUUUAAGCCAUACUUUCUGUGAGGGAUUGUAAUACAGCAAUAGCUUCAUUCUCUAGCAGUAACACUGGUGGAGAUAACUAUUUUGGAUUCUUCACAGAAGCACCUGCCAGUUAUACACAGCAUUUUCCUUUUCACAGAAGCUUUCAUUUCAAAUUCUGAGAGCUGAACGUGGAACCCAGCAUGGAGGAGAAGAGAUUUUACUAUUCCAUAAGUCAGUGGGCAGUUGUGGAAGGGACCUUCUUCUCAACAUUAUCUUAUCCAUCAGGGAAGUGGGUGACAAGCACACACAGCUCACAGCUAAACUACUGCAAUCAAAUAUGGAUUUUCCCUCUCUGCUAAUGGAAGUGGGACUGAAUGCAGUUCUCCUUUUAUUAAAACAAAGAAAGGCUGUGGUAAAUGAAUGACGUUUGAGCGAGGUGUGAAAUGUGAAGGUACAAAAUUAACUGGUAAG